rnacentral:antisense_RNA from 1 species
UGUGGGAGCUGGCUUGCCUGCGAUGCUGGCACCUCGGUGUAUCGGUGAUACCCGGGUGAUCCAAUCGCAGGCAAGCCAGCUCCCACA